GAAUGCCUCAACACAGGUACGUGCACUGCUGAAGGCACCACUGUAGUUUUGGCUGAGAUGUGCUCUCUCAUCACAGGCAAUUUUCCUAUCACUUCUCCUGAAGAUACGCCUUUGCUGGCGUGUAAGGAAGCCUUCAGUGACUUGACUCACCACAAAGUCUAUUUAAUAAAAAGAAGGCCGUGCAUACUUGUGUGGCUCCAGUCCCGUGGACUGCUGUUGUCUUCAACUGCACAGGAAGCAGCAACACUUGGGGAACGUUAA
rnacentral:lncRNA from 1 species